rnacentral:rRNA from 1 species
UACGUAGGGGGCGAGCGUUGUCCGAAGUUACUGGGCGUAAAGUGUGCGCAGGCGGCAGAGCAAGUCGAGUGUGAAAGCCCCGAGCUUAACUUGGGAAUUGCGCUCGAAACUACUUUGCUGGAGUGUGGCAGAGGAAGGUGGAAUUCCAGGUGUAGCGGUGAAAUGCGUAGAGAUCUGGAGGAACACCGAUGGCGAAGGCAGCCUUCUGGGCCAACACUGACGCUCAUGCACGAAAGCGUGGGGAGCAAACAGG